CAAACAUCUCUUGUUACUUAGGUAGUGAUAUAGGGGAUCAGCUGUUGAGUGUGUUACUUGGUACAAGUAUGUUCAUUGGUGGACUUACAGGUUUUAUCCUAGACAAUACGGUUCCAGGCACUUUGGAGGAACGUGGAAUCAGAAAAUGGCGAGAAAUAGACGAAACUUGGAAAAACAGGGAAACGGACAAUAUCUCGAUUUAUGACCUACCUUUUGUCCAAAAAUAUCUUAACAGACUGCAGAUUACACAGUUUUUACCAUUCUGUGCAAAUUUUCAACCUUUCUGUAGAAAAGACGAGAAAAAGUACAUACAAGCAGAGAAAGCAGUAUAUGAAAAGGAAGUGGAAGUGACUGACACCAAGUUUUAAUGCAUAUAAUUUGGAGAAUUUGAAUAUCACUUUAUGUAUCACUUUAUGUCAUAGUUAUUUUCUUUCAAUUUUUCCUCUUUCAAUUUUAGGUCACCUUAGUUAUUUAUCAAUGUGUCACAUUGUUACUAGCAUCUGUUUCGUCCGGUAACAUUGAAGUAUUUUCAGAUUCCUCAUGAGAAGUACUGAACCAUCUUCGUCUUACUUUGACAUAUAUAAUCUUUAAGUAAAGCCUAAAAGGGGAACAAAAGUAAGAAUUGCACGUUAACUGUCCCCAUCCCUUCCUUGCCUGAGGAUGUUAAGGCCAUUAAAAUAAUGCAAUCUCUAAAAUUUCCCGUUUACUUCUCGAUAUUAAGCUAAUUAACUCUUGUUAUGAUUGCAAAAAGGCUUAAUUGAGUCUUCUGCCAAACUUUUUCAAAAUAAUGACUCGGUGAAAAAAGCUCCUGGGUGAAAUGCGUAAGUUUUUGAAAAUAAAUCCUUUCCUGUCUGCCAGAAUAUUUGAAAGCUAAGCUAGCUGCAUGGUUAUAAUCAGCAAAGGUGCCUUUUUCAAAAUUGGUCCCUGGGGUUCUUGUUGGAGAGGGGGAAUUAUUUUGAAUAUAAAGCGAAAUUGCAUUUAUCUAUGUCUUUGAAAAUCUUCUUUGCUUUAGGAUAUUAGGUAAACAAACGUUGCCUCAUCCCAAAAUUGUGAAUUUCAUGUCAGGGAUUCUGGUGUAAGGAUAUGGUUGUGAUUAAUGUAAAGUAAAAUGCGCGCAUUCUGAAAUUUUUCUCCUUUCUCUUUGGGGAUACAGUGUGCAAAUAUGAAAUAAGUAUGGGUAUAUUUACCAGAUUAUUUUAAAUUUUGGACUACUUAGUAAAGGGUCCGGGUGCUGGUGCUUUAUUAAUUUGCAUUCUACUGAAAGAAAUUCUUUUUGCUAUUCACGUAUAAAGGUUCUCAAUAGUCGUCAAGCAAACUUUUUUGGUUUACAUGGUGAAAGUGACAAAUCGGUGCAAAUAAAGAUUUUUUUUAAAGUUUUGUUAUGGAGUACUAAUUAUAAUGCGAUCCCCUCAUCUUUUUUCUUGCUUUUGGCAACAUAGUACGUUUUCCUGCUUCAUCUCUCACAAUAUUUUCGUUUUAUUUUAUACCUCUAUGAAUCCUCUGCAUUGUUAUGUUAUAUUCAGGUGAUUAUUAUGGCCAUAGGCUACUUGUUUUGUAUUUUAAUGGAAUAUCUUGAAUUGACUAUAUAUGUAAAUACUGCAUUUUCAAAUACCAGCAGAACCAUGUGUACGGUUUAUUUGAAAUUGAAAAAUAAAAUUUGAAAAAUAAAACCCAGGUUC